rnacentral:rRNA from 1 species
ACGUAGGGGGCCAGCGUUGUCCGGAAUUACUGGGCGUAAAGCGCGCGCAGGCGGUCUGGUAAGCAGUGGGUGAAAUUCCGGGGCUCAACCCCGGAGCUGCUCACUGAACUGCCAGACUCGAGUUCGGGAGAGGGCAGCGGAAUUCCUGGUGUAACGGUGGAAUGUGUAAAUAUCAGGAGGAACACCCGUGGCGAAGGCUGCUGCCUGGAACGAUACUGACGCUGAGGCGCGAAAGCCAGGGGAGCGAACGG